AUUGAACGCUGGCGGCAGGCCUAACACAUGCAAGUCGAACGAGUGGCGGACGUGUGAGUAAUGUCUGGGAAACUGCCUGAUGGCGGGGGAUAACUACUGGAAACGGUACCUAAUACCGCAUACCAUCGGAUGUGCCCCGGUGGGAUUCGGUAGUAGGUGGGGUAACGGCUCACCUCGGCGACGAUCCCUAGCUGGUCUGAGAGGAUGACCAGCCACACUGGAACUGAGACACGGUCCAGACUCCUACGGGAGGCAGCAGUGGGGAAUAUUGCACAAUGGGCGCAAGCCUGAUCCAGCCAUGCCGCGUGUGUGAAGAAGGUCUUCGGAUUGUAAAGCACUUUAAGUGGGGAGGCGUUACCAACAGAAUAAGCACCGGCUAACUUCGUGCCAGCAGCCGCGGUAAUUC
rnacentral:rRNA from 1 species